rnacentral:rRNA from 1 species
AUGAGGCGAGAGUCUCACUACGGUUCCUUUGAGAAGGGUGUGAUACCACCACCUAUCAGGCCCGACGAGCGGUCCACGGAGCUGCAUCCCUACUCACCCGGUCUAUGCACAUCGCUCUUUCCAGGAGGUUGGCUGCCUAUCCUAGAUCUUCCCAUUUCCAAAAAGAUCCCUUGUUCGAUCUGGUUUAGUAUCAAGGUUCUUCUUUUUCUGUUUCUAUAUAUAUGGGUCCGUGCAGCAUUUCCAGGAUAUCGUUAUGAUCAAUUAAUGGGACUUGGCCGGAAAGUGUUCUUGCCUCUAUCAUUAGCUCGGGUACUCCCCGUUUCAGGUGUUUCAGUCACCUUUCGAUGGCUCUCUUAA